GACGGAAGUCUGACGCAGCGACGCCGCGUGGAUGAUGAAUGCCUUCGGGUUGUAAAAUCCUUUACGGGGUGACGAGGAAGGACGGUAGCCCCGGAACAAGCGUCGGCUAACUACGUGCCAGCAGCCGCGGUAAGACGUAGGACGCAAGCGUUAUCCGGAUUUACUGUGCGUAAAGCGUCUGUAUGCGGAUGAGUAAGUUGGGCGUGAAAGCUCCGGGCUCAACCCGGAGAGUGCGUUCAAUACUGCUGAUCUAGAGGAUGCCAGAUGGGAGUGGAAUUCAUGGAGUAGCGGUAAAAUGCGCAGAUAUCAGGAAGAACACCAGUGCCGAAGGCGGCUCCCUAGGGCCCACGUGACGCUGAGAGACUACAGCUAGGGGAGCGAACAGGAUUAGAGACCCUGGUAGUCCUAGCCGUAAACGAUGGAUGCUAGGUGUAGGGCCGUAGAGGCUCUGUGCCGGAGCGAACGCGAUAAGCAUCCCGCCUGGGGAGUACGACCGCAAGGCUAAAACUCAAACGAAUUGACGGGGACCCGCACAAGCAACGGAGCGUGUGGUUUAAUUCGAUGCUACACGAAGAACCUUACCUGGGUUUGACAUGGGCGUGGUAGUGAAGCGAAAGCGGAGCGACCCUUCGGGGAGCGUCCACAGGUGCUGCAUGGCUGUCGUCAGCUCGUGCCUUGAGCUGUCGGGUUAAGUCCCGUAACGAGCGCAACACAUUGCCCUUAGUUACAAGUGUCUAAGGGGACUGCCGUCGGGAAGCCGGAGGAAGGUGGGGAUGACGUCAAGUCAGCAUGGCCCUUAUAUCCAGGGCUACACACACGCUACAAUGGCCGGUACAGAGGGCAGCGAAGCCGCGAGGUGGAGCGAAUCCCAGAAAGCCGGUCGUAGUUCGGAUUGCAGGCUGCAACCCGCAUGCAUGAAGCUGGAGUUGCUAGUAACCGCGCGUCAGCCAUAGUGCGCUGAAUACGUUCCCGGGUCUUGUACACACCGCCCGUCACGUCAUGGGAGUCG
rnacentral:rRNA from 1 species